CGGCGAGCGGCGAGCGGCGAGCGGCGAGCGCUUCAUCGGGACGUUUGUGUUGAUUCAUUGUUCUGGAUCUCCCAGGAUUCCGUCCGUCAAACUCCGGAGCUUCACACAAACUUCCAGAAAAGUUCUCCUCUGUGUUUUCCCGUAAACUGUUUCCCUCUUCAGCUGGUUGGUUCCAGGAUGCUCCGCCUCCACGCUCCUGAUCCCCGGUGAUGAUUGGCUGCUGGACGCUGGAGUUUGAAUGACGCUCUGUUUUCAGCGAGCGCUGUAGCUCCGCCCCCUGACGGAGCGAGGUCCAGAUGAAGCUUCUGUCCCGUUUGUUUCUUGGUUGUUUCCCGUAGCCCCGCCCCCCAGCUCUGACAUCGUCUUCUUCCGUCCUCCCGCAGGCGUCCCCAAACCCCGCGUCCCACCCCAGAGCCCCACCGCCGCUCCGCCCAAACCAGCAGCCAAUCAGCAGCCGGCAGGCCGACCCGCCGCCUCCAGGCUUCCUGUCAAAGGCUCGAGCCCGGGCCCCUCCCCGGCGGGGGCGGGGGGCGGUGGGAUCAGCGGAGCUGCAGGGAGAGGCUCUGGGACCCAGGAGCAUCCCGUCAGGAGGACGCUUUCUCCCAUCAGCCCCGGCUCAGGACCUGCGUGUGAAGCGGCUCCCCAGAGGCCCGCCCCCUCCAGGAGCCGACAGGCGUCUGUCCAGACCAGGACGCCUGCGGCAGGACUCAAACCCCCGACCGCCACCUCCGUCAACCCGCCUGCAGCCAGGGCGCCCCCUGCUGGCGGUCAGACGAAGCUGAGCGCCUCGUUCCAGCGAAGCGGGUCGGCUCGGUUCUGUCGGCUCGGCGGCGCAGGUCCGUAUGUGUUUGGUUCUGUCGGGGGGGUGGAUGAAGGCUGUGACUGUAUAACGCUGAGCAGUAGCACUGUAUAGUCUACAUGCUGCCCCCUGCUGGAUGGAGGGGAAGCUGCGGCGUUCAUGUCAGGUGGGAGGAGUCUCCGUUUGAGGAUGGUCGGGGCGCAGACUUAAAAAACUGAAAGGUUUACAGGUUCAGUGUCCAUGAGCAAGGCAUUGAACCUCACCGUCACCGUGAACGUCUCGGGUCUCAAUAAAGUUAGGAGACAAACAUCAUGUAUUUACUCUCGAUAUGCCGACUCUGUGUAAAACAUUGACUGUAUCAGAGAGCUGGACUGAGCGGGUACGACCCCCCCCCCCACAUUCAGCUUCAUUCAGUCUCCAUUUUUCUACAUCAGUGAGCAGUGAUUGGUCAGAGUCUGUUUGAGUCUUUGUUUCCAUGGAAAUCACUUUCCAAUCAGGAGUGAGUUUGGUGGAAGGCCACGCCCCCACUGCUUGACAGUGGGCUCCACGACAUGUCAAACUUUUAGAAGGGGGGCUGUGGGGGCCAGCAGGCU
rnacentral:lncRNA from 1 species